GAUCAUGGCUCAGGAUGAACGCUAGCGACAGGCUUAACACAUGCAAGUCGAGGGGCAGCGGGGAGUAGCAAUACUUCGCCGGCGACCGGCGCACGGGUGAGUAACACGUGUGCAACCAACCCCGUACCGGGAGAUAACCCGCGGAAACGUGGACUAACAUCCCAUAACACUGUAUCAUCGCAUGGUGAUGCAUUUAAAAUUCCGGUGGUACGGGACGGGCACGCGCGACAUUAGGUAGUUGGCGGGGUAACGG
rnacentral:rRNA from 1 species